UGGGGAAUCUUGGACAAUGGGCGCAAGCCUGAUCCAGCCAUGCCGCGUGAGUGAUGACGGCCUUAGGGUUGUAAAGCUCUUUCAGCAGGGAAGAUAAUGACGGUACCUGCAGAAGAAGCCCCGGCUAACUCCGUGCCAGCAGCCGCGGUAAUACGGAGGGGGCUAGCGUUAUUCAGAAUUACUGGGCGUAAAGCGCGCGUAGGCGGUUUUUUAAGUUGAAGGUGAAAUCCCGGGGCCUAACCCCGGAACUGCCUUCAAAACUGAAGAACUUGGAGUACGGGAGAGGUGAGUGGAAUUUCUAGUGUAGAGGUGGAAUUCGUAGAUAUUAGAAGGAACACCAGUGGCGAAGGCGGCUCACUGGCCCGUAACUGACGCUGAGGCGCGACAGCGUGGGGAGCAAACAG
rnacentral:rRNA from 1 species